UGCCUAUUGGUCCGCAGUAUUAAGAAUUUGUUAAAGUAUCUUUGCUUUAGCAUUUGUGAAUUUCAGGUAUAAUAUGUAAUAGGACAAGAAAAAACUCUGGAAUAAAUAUAUAUCAGACUGUGAAAGGGUAUAAAGCCCAUGGAGCUAAGUGCUUCCUGUUAAGUCAACUUUUAAAACAGCUUCUCUCUGGGCAGUAAUUCACAUUUUUCAAGGGGAGAAAGGAUAGGUGAAGUUGAAUUGUUCAAAUUAAGUCAAAAUGAAUUGCUUAAUAUUCAGAGGAGUUGAUGAAUGAACCAUUAAAUCAACACUUGCAUAGCGUUUCAUUGAAAAGAAAAAUGAACAACUCUCCAUUGUGUGCUGGGCAGAAUAGGUCAGCCAGUGACGUUGCUACAUCAGUGUGCUGAACUGAGCUCCUCCUGCUACCAGAUGUGUUUGCUCGGUGACAUUCCACGGGCAUGGGAACGAGCUCUCGUGCUCUGUGAUGAGGACUUAGCAUCUGCUCUAAAUGACCGUAAUCGUCCCAGCCUCAUCUCGAAGGAGAGAGAUCUUGGUUAGGUUUCAUUUGGCAUAAAUUAACAUAAUUUUAUUGAUGCCUCAUGUUGAUGUAUAUCUGUUGGGAAUCCACUUCUGUAUUUCAAGCUGUGGUUUUGUUUUGUUUCUCCACCAAGGAAGAGCUGUAUUUUUGAAUGCCAGUUUGAGGAAGAAAUUAUACUGAUAAAUGGAAAAAUAAGGGUCAUUAUUUUGAAACAAGGCUGACAAGAUUCCUUGUAGUAAAAGCUGUUUUCAGAGCAUCACCUCUCAGCAAUACAGAGGGCGAGCCUUGCUUCCAAACCCUUUGGUUAGCCUAGGUACAACUGUUGUAAUAAUUUUCUUGCCACAGAGAAAUUACCUUUGCCUUUUCUCCUUUAAGUCCUCAGAAUUCUUGUUUUGGAAUGUAUUGAGGAUGUUGACUGUAGCCUUAUUGUGCCUUCUGGAAACUUCCAACACUUUGAAGAGUCAUGGACAGUACGCCCUUGAUGUUUUUCAGUUGCACCUCUUUGCUUUACAGUGAGACCACAGAGGAAUCAUAGCCCUCACAGGGUACAGCUCAGUUUUCUGCUUACACAUUGCUCCUGAAGAUCUGAAUUAUUCUGCAGUUUUUUCACAGAGCUUGCACUAGGGGUUUGCACAAAAUCAUUAGCUGUAUUACUGUUUCAGUAUGGGCACUGGGAAAUGCACUUUUAUCUGUUCCUGCUUACCAGUGUGCUGCAAAAGGCUUGCCUUGCAUGUACUGAAACAUGAUUAAUUUUGGGGGGGUAAUGAUGAAACUGCAGUGCUUUGAUAGGUUGAUUAUUUUAUGCUCUGCCAGAAAUGGAUACUUAAAAGGAGGUAUUAGAUCUGAAUGAGAUAUUCAAGAGCAAGUUACUGGUUUGAGUUAGCUAAUAGGGAAUAGGCCAAUCCUAUUG
rnacentral:lncRNA from 1 species